GACGAACGCUGGCGGCGUGCUUAACACAUGCAAGUCGAACGGAAAGGCCCUGCUUUUGUGGGGUGCUCGAGUGGCGAACGGGUGAGUAACACGUGAGUAACCUGCCCUUGACUUUGGGAUAACUUCAGGAAACUGGGGCUCAUACCCGAUAGGAGCUCCUGCUGCAUGGUGGGGGUUGGAGAGUGUCGGCGGUUGGGGAUGGACUCGGGGCGUAUCAGCUUGUUGGUGGGGUAGUGGCUUACCCAGGCUUUGAGGGGUAGGCGACCUGAGAGAGUGAUCGGCGACACGGGAGGGUGGCCGGGGACAAGGCUCCUGCGAGAGGGACCAGACGGGAAUGGGCGGCAGCGGGCGGGAACAUGGCGGAGCGGGGGGGAGUGUGAUAUAGAAGCGCCGCGUGCGGGAUGAUGUGUUACUGGUGAAAAACAGCUUUCGACUGAACUGUGCAGGGAUUGACGGUACCGAGUAAAGAAGCAACGGCUAACUACGUG
rnacentral:rRNA from 1 species